AUUCACAUAUGUACAUACCCGAAUUACUCUUCGAGAACCGGGUAUAAAAAAGGACCUUGGAAAAGGGGUGAGAAAGGUCGGAAUAGUUGGAGAGCUCUUUCGUUGGGAACGGCUAAGAUUUUUUUGGAGUAGUCAGCUGUUUUUAUAUAUACAAAAAUUGUUGUUAACUGCUUAACUGAUUUAAGUGUAAGAUGGCAUUGCAAUAUAUGUACAUACAUAUGCAUGUAUGUAUAUAUGUACAUACAUAUGCAUAGAGCAUUCUAGUCAUGUGGUCUCGAUAACUGAGUGCGAUGUUUUUCCCGAGGAACUGGAGCAUAGGGGUCCUACCGAUUCGGUGGAUUAUUGAAUUAUGUAAUCUUACAAUAUAAUGUAUAUUGUGUGUAUUGGGUAAUAUAUAAUUUGAUUUGAA